UGUUCAUGAACAUGUUUUUCCUUAUCAAUCUGACUUUGUUUCUCCGUCUGACUUCUUUUCUCAUUUAAUCUUACCCUCAUCAACUCCUUAUGUUCCUGAUCAUGUGUCUGAUGUGUAUUCAUCUCCUUUUCAUCAUGACAAUGCAUCUACAUCUCAUACUACAUAUGCUCCUGCUUCAUUGUCUUCUUCUAUACCAUCUACGAUUCAUACUACAUCUGCUCCUACAUCAUUGUCUUCCUCCAAUCCAUCUUUUACUCAUACUACAUCUGCUUCUGCAUCAUUAUCUUCAUUGCUUCCAUCUUCAUCUCAUGCUACCUCUGCUCCUGCAUCAUUAUCUUCAUCGAUUCCAUCUUCAUCUCAUACUACCUCUGCUCCUGCAUCAUUAUCUUCAUCUCAUACUACAUCUACAUCUUCUUUUGCAUCUUCAUCUCAUAAUGCAUCAUCAUCAACAUCCCCUAGUCAUGUACCAUUAGUUUCUGAGACAGUUGCUCCGGGAGUUUCGAAUCCUUCUCUUCCUGAUGUUAGACCAAAACGUAACACUAAGGCUCCCACUUACCUAUCUGAUUAUCAUUGUGCUCUUCUUCAAACACUACCUCCCUUACCACCU
rnacentral:lncRNA from 1 species